rnacentral:rRNA from 1 species
UAAGGAAGCCUAACUGUGAGACAUACAAGUCGAGCAGAUACGAAAGUAGGAUCUAGUGAUCCGGCGGUAGAACGUGGAAUCGCCGUCGCUCAACGGAUAAAAGGUACUCCGGGGAUAACAGGCUUAUCUUCCCCAAGAGUUCAUAUCGACGGGAAGGUUUGGCACCUCGAUGUCGGCUCAUCGCAUCCUGGGGGUGGAGAAGCUCCCAAGGGUUGGUCUGUUCGCCCAUUAAAGCGGUACGUGAGCUGGGUUUAGAACGUCGUAAGACAGUUCGGUCCCUAUCUGCAGUAGGCGUAGGAUAUUUGAAGAGGAGUUGUCCAUAGUACGAGAGGACCUGGAUGAACGAACCUAGGGUGUUCCAGUUGUCACGCCAGUGGCAUGUGCUGGGUAGCCAAGUUCGGACGGGAUAAGCGCUGAAUGCAUAUAAGCGCCAAGCCCCCCUCAAGAAUAGAUAUCCCUCCGCCAUAAGGCGGCUAAAGGCGCCUCGUAGACUACGAGGUUGAUAGGUUUCAAGUGUAAGCUCCGCAAAGGAGUUCAGCUUAGAAAUACUAAUCUGCCGUGAGGCUUGACCAUA